rnacentral:rRNA from 1 species
GGCGGGCGGGGCGGGGGCACGGGGGGCCUACGGGAGGCAGCAGUGGGGAAUUGUUCGCAAUGGGCGCAAGCCUGACGACGCAACGCCGCGUGGAGGAUGAAGAUCUUCGGGUCGUAAACUCCUGUCGAGCGGGAAGAACAGCUUUGGAGUGAAUAUCUCUGAAGCCUGACGGUACCGCUAAAGGAAGCCCCCAC